GAUGAAGAACGUAGCGAAAUGCGAUAAGUAAUGCGAAUUGCAGAAUUCCGUGAGUCAUCGAAUCUUUGAACGCACAUUGCGCCCUCUGGUAUUCUGGAGGGCAUGCCUGUCUGAGCGUCAUUGUCAACCCUCAAGCUCAGCUUGCUGUUGGGUCCCCGUCGUUGCUUUAACGGCGGACCCGAAAGGUAAUGGCAGAGUCCGUGAGACCCUAGACGCAGCGAGCUUCUAGCACGCGUCUGGACGUUUUUCGGGCUCGGUCUUAACUAGAUGAUAACUUCCGAUUGACCUCAGAUCAGGUAGGGAUACCCGCUGAACUUAAGCAUAUCAAUAAGCGGAGGA
rnacentral:misc_RNA from 1 species